UACGUAGGUCCCGAGCGUUGUCCGGAUUUAUUGGGCGUAAAGCGAGCGCAGGUGGUUUAAUAAGUCUGAUGUAAAAGGCAGUGGCUCAACCAUUGUGUGCAUUGGAAACUGUUAGACUUGAGUGCAGUAGAGGAGAGUGGAAUUCCAUGUGUAGCGGUGAAAUGCGUAGAUAUAUGGAGGAACACCGGUGGCGAAAGCGGCCCUCUGGGCCUGUACUGACACUGAGGCGCGAAAGCGUGGGGAGCAAACAGG
rnacentral:rRNA from 1 species